AAGGGCACCACAAGAACGCGUGGAGCAUGUGGCUUAAUUUGACUCAACGCGGGAAAUCUUACCGGGUCCGGACACACUGAGGAUUGACAGAUAACAUCAUAUAUUCACUAUACUCGUAUAGUUGAAUAUAUGUAUAAAUAUGCUAGUUCUUUCAUGAUUAUGUGAUAGGUGGUGCAUGGCCGUUCUUAGUUCGUGGAGUGAUCUGUCUGCUUAAUUGCGUUUCACUAUACGGGUCUAUUUAUACAAUCAUGCAAUUACAUAUUGACCGCAUGCUCUGCGUGCCGCGUCUUUUGUAUUGCUGAUUAUUAGACCCUGAAAGCAACGAACGUGACCGCAACCUCUUGUUGCUCUCAUUCCUUGCAUAUAUAUUUUACUCUUUCACAGAGUAUGUAUAUAUAAGAGAGCCUACGUAUAUAUAUCUCAUAGACCGCUAUACACAUUUCACUUUUUUAAGUGUAUGCGUAAUAUGUCUUAAGACGUAUAUAAAACUAGAGGGACCGCUGUUAUCUUCUUUAAACCAGAGGAAGGUUGCGGCAAUAACAGGUCUGUGAUGCCCUUAGAUGUUCCGGGCUGCACACGUGCUACAAUGAUUAUUGCAGUGAGCAUCUCAUUUUUUUAUCCACAUCGCAUGUGCGACUGUGUGUCACUCAUUACUUAUGUUUCGGCAUUGGUGUGCUGUGAUAUACAUGUCUGCACGCGAUUAAGCCUACUUUGAAAGUAAGCGGGUAAUCAAUUAGAAGUAAUGAUUUCCUUUUUUUUCUGCACACAUAUAUAUGGCAUAUAUACCCGGCAUACCUUUGUUGUAUGUUCUUUGUGUGUAUAUAUGACUCUCUUUGUAGAGUUUUUUAUCCAUAUGUGCAUCUGUCAAUUCAUGGUGGGGACAGACCAUUGUUUCAAUUGUUGGUCUCGGUCUUAACUAGGAAUGCCUUGUACGGGUCUUUGGUUCAACAAACCACCCGGAAUACGUCCCUGCCCUUUGUACACACCGCCCGUCGCUCUUACCGAUGGACUUCUCUGUGAGUUUGAGGGACUGUCUAUGCAUAUAUAUUUAUUUAUAUUAUGCAUAUUAGGAAACUUAAACGAACAGUGUGGUCUAAAGGAAAGAGAAGUCGUAACAAGGCAUCAGUAGGUGAACCUGCAGAAGGAUCA
rnacentral:rRNA from 1 species